rnacentral:rRNA from 1 species
GUGCGGGGGUUGACCAGGAGGAAGGCGGGGAUGACGUCAAAUCAUCAUGCCCUGUUAUGGCUUGGGUUACACACGUGCUACAAUGGCGCACACAAAGGGAGGAGAAGGGGUGACCCGGAGCAAACCCCAGAAAAGGCGCCCCAGUUCGGAUUGCAGCCUGCAACCCGGCUGUGUGAAGCUGGAAUCGCUAGUAA